AAACAGGGACUGCGCCUGCGCGGGAAGUCGUGGCCCAGCGUGCCUGAUGGGUUACCCUCAUUGACAGGCACAGGAACGAGGUCGGAGGGCAGAGUCCGCGGGAGCGGCGCGGAGGAAAGGCUGCUGCUGGCACUUGGUCUGGGUCAGUGAGGAUCUCUGGGGAACCGGCCCGGCGCUCCCAUUCUCAUCCAGCGCGCUUCUCACAGGGGAUGACCCCCAGCAAGGUGCCUGCGCCUACGUUCAGUGCGGACCCUGCAGAUUUUCUAUCAGAUGUUCCACCGUAAUAAUGCUGGAGUUAAGAUGUCUCCGUUUCUUUGUUCCAAACCAGAAGACUUUGUUCUCUGCAUAUAGAGUAGGAGUAAUGUUGGUUAGAAACUGGCUGGUGUUUAAAACUGAAGAUUGUCAUGACUGUUUAACUUAAACCCUAUUCUGAAGUAAAAAUAAUUGCCUUGGAAAUACUAAGUUUGGGUAAGUAUUUUUUAAUAAAGGUCUAUGUUGAGUGGUGACAAAAAAAAAACUUACAGAAAAUGAUCUAAAAUUAAAUUUAAAUUAAAAUUAAGAAAGUACACUUUUAGAUAGAAAUUUAUAGUCCAUUGCAGAACUAUGUUAACUUCAGGCUUAUUAUAUAUCUUAUUUUGAGGUUAAUAGUUCAGGAAUUUGGAUAACUUGUGGCUCAUUAAAUCUAGGCUUGAGACAGUUUUCAACCAAUGAAUUACAUUUGAAAAAUUUUUUUAAAUUAUGUAUAAAGUUCAGAAUGCUUGAAAAGUGUGUUUAAUUUAAAGUGUGCCUAGAGUGUAGUGCUAAUGUGUAUGCCUUAUUCUAUGACAGUGAAUUCUGCACUUAAAUCUCUAGGAAUCAUCCAUAGACACCUGGAUUAGAUAUUUAGAGAUACAAGGAUCCAGAGUAUCAGAGUAUUACAUACUGUCUAAAUUCACACAACAAGAGAUACCCUUCUGCGUUAGUUAUUCUCCAGAUAUUCUAAAUUGAGAGACAUAGAAUACUUACUCUUAUAUGAGUCUGUAAACUCUAUUCUCAGUUUUACCAAAUAUAUAUGGUUAAAUGCCAUGUUUUCCAUUUUUAAUUGAUCUCUUCUUUUUCUUAUUGGUGAGGUUCUUCACUUUUCUUUUUAGGAUUUCUUGUUAAAACUUCAGAAUGGUUAUAAGUAAGUCACAGAUGUGGUAUUACGAUUAGUGUGUACUUCGGGACUAAUGAAUGUUUUCAUGUAUUAAACAUCUUUUUGUCAAAAUGACCACCUAAUAUUUAUUUUUAAACUGAUUAAUAAGUGGGGCACCUGGUUCCAUCAUUUGGAGGACCAUGUGACUCUUCAUCUUGGGGUUGUAAGUUUCAGCCCCAUGUUGGAUGUAGAGAUUACAAAAAAAUAAAUAAACUUAAAUAAACUAAUUAAUAAUCUUUAAAUAUUCUAUUUCUUAGCCACUAGAGUACUGUACUUUAAGCAUGAAUUUUGGAGUGAAGUGGACCUGAGUCCAAAUUUUAGCUCUUCAAAUUAACUAAAAUUUAAUCAACUUAACAAAUAUUUAAUCUUCAGUUUAUAUAUUUUUAAGAUGAAGAUAAUAAUUUCUACUUAAUAGAGUUAUGAAGUUAAGUAGGUGAUGAGAUUGUAAAGUUCUUAGCCUAGUGUAUUGUGAUAUCUUUAAAAGUAUUAGUUACUCUUUAAAAAAAGAUUUUUUUGUUGUUUAUAUGCAGUAAUUGUAGCUUCUCAUGGGUAUUCUUUAUAACUGUCUUUUUUUACAUAAUUUUUAUCCAUACUAUCUGUUGGCCAGUUUAGUUUUUCCUUUUCUCAAGAUUUAGAAUUAAUGACCUUCAUUAUCAUUUAAUGAAAACUAAGAAUUAAGUAAUCGUCAUAUCAUAAGCAAUGAGAUUUUUCACACAUUCCCAGAUUAUUUGGUACUCCAGAGCUAAACUGUCUAAGGAAAAUACAAAUAAAUGUGAAAAUUGUUAACAAAAGUUACUUCUAGUUUAGAAGAAUGGAAUUGACUCCCAGCUUUAAUUUGUUUAGGAUUUCAAGUACAACAUCAAGCAACCAUUUAGUUAUAACACUGGCAUUAAUGAUUUUAAGCUAAAUGCCUUUUUUAGGAAAGUUGUUCAAAUUUUGCAAGAUGUCAUGGUGUUAAAAUUUGGUCAGAAUUUAGGAUAGUAUACAGAGGAUUUAUAUUAUAUGUGAGUUAUUAUUUAAUAUUUGGAUUAUUAUAAAUAUUUUAAACUAAUUUAUGAUUGAUAAUUUAAAGACAAUAAGAGUGAUUAGCCUACUUUUCUCUGUCUUUUUUAUAAUUUUUCUAAAUUAGGCUGUAAAAGAAUUAUUUCAUUACUCUUCUCAUUGGCUUACUCUGUAGUUUAAUUCUGAGUGUCAAAGAAUCAUACCCUCCAGAACACAAUAAUACUGUGAAUAUCCUUUUAGAUAUUUUGUUUCCAUUUACUUGAAGUACUCAAAUAUGAACUUUGCUUCUUAAGAAAAAAAUGCUUAAGUGGUAGCCUUAAAUGCUUAAUCAUUUGACUUUUUUUAUAUUAACCCUUUGUUUUAGCAGAUUAACACUCAGUAAUGUUUGUUAAAUAAGUGUAAUAGCUAGACAUGUAAAACAGUAUGUUUAGGAAACACUAUUUCUUGUU